rnacentral:rRNA from 1 species
GGGAGGCCUAUCACAUGCAAGCCGAGCGGUAGAGUAUCUUCGGAUACUUGAGAGCGGCGUACGGGUGCGGAACACGUGUGCAACCUGCCUUUAUCUGAGGGAUAGCCUUUCGAAAGGAAGAUUAAUACCUCAUAACAUACUGAUUGGCAUCAAUUAGUAUUGAAAGCUCCGGCGGAUAGAGAUGGGCACGCGCAAGAUUAGAUAGUUGGUGAGGUAACGGCUCACCAAGUCAAUGAUCUUUAGGGGGCCUGAGAGGGUGAUCCCCCACACUGGUACUGAGACACGGACCAGACUCCUACGGGAGGCAGCAGUGAGGAAUAUUGGACAAUGGGUGGAAGCCUGAUCCAGCCAUCCCGCGUGAAGGACGACGGCCCUAUGGGUUGUAAACUUCUUUUGUACAGGGAUAAACCUACUCUCGUGAGGGUAGCUGAAGGUACUGUACGAAUAAGCACCGGCUAACUCCGUGCCAGCCGCCGCGGUAAUU